rnacentral:lncRNA from 1 species
AACGUCGUAGGUCCUCAAAAUACUAUCUAAAAGAUAUUUUCAAACACACUUUUUAUGACUCAAAGACGCAGCCGUAACCGACUCUUGGAAUCAUCAACCAAUCUGGCCCUCUAAUUCCGUCCCGUAUUUUAGUCCGCAGCUCCAGAUGUGUUAUUAGCGGCCGAGCCGCUCUGUUCCGUAUUCAAGCAAGUCAUUUUCCUGGGUACGUGCUUAAGCCCGGACACUCGGAUUUUACAAAAUCUGAAUUUAAACUACUAUAAUCAGAGUUGUAUAGCGCUAGCUGUAAAUUCUAAUUCUAAUUCAGACCUGAAUUUUACAAUCUAGACGUCUGGACUUAAGCAUGACUCUUAUCAAUCACAUAUAUUUCUAACAAUUAAUGUAUGUAUACACUUCUUCUUGUAGCAUUUCUUCUGUGAUCACAAUGAAGAAGUAGCCGGAUGUUUAGGGCAGCGAUGAUGUAUUAUUUAUUUUAAGGGAGGAUAAUUCUAGCAACAUAUUUUUUCUCUUUACCCAUAUGCAGCUGUUUGUUCACGAAUUGUCUUCUCUGUUCCCUGUAAGAUUCCCAUCCGAUGCCAAUGGUCAAGAAAAGGGGCUGCAAAU